CCUACGGUGGGCUGCAGUGGGGGAUAUUGCACAAUGGGGGAAACCCUGAUGCAGCGACGCCGCGUGGGUGAAGAAGCGCCUCGGCGCGUAAAGCCCUGUCAGCCGGGAAGAAAAUGACGGUACCUGAAGAAGAAGCCCCGGCUAACUACGUGCCAGCAGCCGCGGUAAUACGUAGGGGGCAAGCGUUAUCCGGCUUUACUGGGUGUAAAGGGGGCGCAGACGGCGAUGCAAGCCAGGAGUUAAAGCACCGGGCCCAACCCCGGGACUGCACUUGAGACUGCGUGGCUAGAGUGCGGGAGGGGCAAGCGGAAUUCCUGGUGUAGCGGUGAAAUGCGUAGAUAUCAGGAGGAACACCGGUGGCGAAGGCGGCCUGCUGGACUGCAACUGACGUUGAGGCCCGAAAGCGUGGGGAGCAAACAGGAUUAGAUACCCUAGUACUC
rnacentral:rRNA from 1 species